AGUAGACCGUGCUCAGAAACGGCAGCCAGAUAGAAGACAUCUUCCAAGUGACUGAUAAAAGCGGAAGCCACUCACUUCCGAGAACUUUUGGAGGUCCCCUCCUCGGCAUGCCUCGGUCACAAUGUAGACGUUGUCCUCGUCCUCGAAACAAUCCAGUAGUUGCACAACCCGUGGACUGUCCGAUAAUCUGUCCAACAAAGUGAGCUCCCUGCAAUAUGGUAGUUAAAAAAUCAACGCGAUAGUCUCGGAACAUGAAUGCCGCCUGCUCCUAGGCAUAGCACUCACCGCUGAAGCUUCUCCAGCACUUUCGCACGUGAAAGUCUUGGCCGCUCCUUCGGUAGUGUCUUAAUGGCAACCUCCUCACCCGUUGCCGCGUGAAUGCCGAGGUGCACCUUUCCGAAGCUGCCCGUUCCGAGCGCCUUCCCUUGUACGUAGGUCUCCCGAAGGUCAGUUCGCCACCCAAGCUCAAAAAGAGAUGCAUCAGAUGACGAUACUGAGGUCGAGGUUGACACAUCAGAAAACGCAGUUGCAACUAUACGUCUGACGUGGAAGCACGGCCGCGGCCUUGCAGGUCGACGGUGGCGAUAAUCCCAAUGCAAACUGGUCCCAGCUCGCAGUGAUUGGUGGCACAUUGUUUAUUUCGCUCGGGACCUGUAUGGAGGAGGUUGUGAUGGGAGCAAACUGCAGAGAAUUGUGAGGAACGUGAUAGCUGCUAUGCUCUUGUGUAUGUAUUAUAAUAUUGUAAGAGUUCUUAGCAUUCAGGUGCCUGGCAUGGGUAUAUACGGACUGCUCUUGUUGAGUCAGCAUCCACGCACGACAGUCAGCAAGUCGCUUUCCACUUUUUCGCCGCCGCUCAGGCCUUCUGUUGAAGAACCACUUCCAUACAAAGAAGGCGGUAUGGUUUGAAAGCUAUCACUUUGGGUACCUUGCAACCCUAGCUUGGACACGUAGCUACGCC
rnacentral:lncRNA from 1 species